rnacentral:rRNA from 1 species
GUGAGGAAUAUUGGUCAAUGGGCGGGAGCCUGAACCAGCCAAGUCGCGUGAAGGAAGAAGGAUCUAUGGUUCGUAAACUUCUUUUGCAGGGGAAUAAAGUGCAGGACGUGUCCUGUUUUGUAUGUACCCUGAUAAUAAGGAUCGGCUAACUCCGUGCCAGCAGCCGCGGUAAUACGGAGGAUCCGAGCGUUAUCCGGAUUUAUUGGUUUUAAAGGGUGCGUAGGUGGUUUGAUAAGUCAGCGGUGAAAGUUUGCAGCUUAACUGUAAAAAUGCCGUUGAAACUGUCGGACUUGAGUGUAAAUGAGGUAGGCGGAAUGCGUGGUGUAGCGGUGAAAUGCAUAGAUAUCACGCAGAACUCCGAUUGCGAAGGCAGCUUACUAAGCUACAACUGACACUGAAGCACGAAAGCGUGGGGAUCAAACAGGAUUAGAAACCCGAGUAGUCC